GUGUCUGGUGGGUAGUUUGACUGGGGCGGUCUCCUCCUAAAGAGUAACGGAGGAGCACGAAGGUUGGCUAAUCCUGGUCGGACAUCAGGAGGUUAGUGCAAUGGCAUAAGCCAGCUUGACUGCGAGCGUGACGGCGCGAGCAGGUGCGAAAGCAGGUCAUAGUGAUCCGGUGGUUCUGAAUGGAAGGGCCAUCGCUCAACGGAUAAAAGGUACUCCGGGGAUAACAGGCUGAUACCGCCCAAGAGUUCAUAUCGACGGCGGUGUUUGGCACCUCGAUGUCGGCUCAUCACAUCCUGGGGCUGAAGUAGGUCCCAAGGGUAUGGCUGUUCGCCAUUUAAAGUGGUACGCGAGCUGGGUUUAGAACGUCGUGAGACAGUUCGGUCCCUAUCUGCCGUGGGCGCUGGAGAACUGAGGGGGGCUGCUCCUAGUACGAGAGGACCGGAGUGGACGCAUCACUGGUGUUCGGGUUGUCAUGCCAAUGGCACUGCCCGGUAGCUAAAUGCGGAAGAGAUAAGUGCUGAAAGCAUCUAAGCACGAAACUUGCCCCGAGAUGAGUUCUCCCUGAGACUUAGAGUCUCCUGAAGGAACGUUGAAGACGACGACGUUGAUAGGCCGGGUGUGUAAGCGCAGCGAUGCGUUGAGCUAACCGGUACUAAUGAACCGUGAGGCUUAACCUUAC
rnacentral:rRNA from 2 species